AGCGAACGCUGGCGGCAGGCUUAACAUAUGCAAGUCGAGCGGGCAUCCUUGUGGUGUCAGCGGCAGACGGGUGAGUAACGCGUGGGAACGUGCCCUUCGGUUCGGAAUAACUCAGGGAAACUUGAGCUAAUACCGGAUACGUGCGAGAGCAGAAAGGUUUAUCUGCCGAAGGAUCGGCCCGCGUCUGAUUAGCUAGUUGGUGAGGUUACGGCUCACCAAGGCGACGAUCAGUAGCUGGUCUGAGAGGAUGAUCAGCCACACUGGGACUGAGACACGGCCCAGACUCCUACGGGAGGCAGCAGUGGGGAAUAUUGGACAAUGGGGGCAACCCUGAUCCAGCCAUGCCGCGUGAGUGAUGACGGCCUUAGGGUUGUAAAGCUCUUUUCUCCGGGACGAUAAUGACGGUACCGGAGGAAUAAGCCCCGGCUAACUUCGUG
rnacentral:rRNA from 1 species